CAUAUACUCCCUCUGUUCCAAAAUUCUUGUCUGAUAUUUAUCUACAAAUGGAUGUAUCUAAAUAUUAAAAUGUCACUAGAUACAUUCAUAUCUACACAAAUGUAAGACAAGCAUUUUGGGACGGAGGGAGUAUACA
rfam:Hordeum vulgare subsp. vulgare, WGS project CAJW01000000 data, contig: morex_contig_1916584